UCCGUUUGAUCCUGGCAGAGGUUACUGCUAUCGAGGCUCGACUAAGCCAUGCGAGUCGAAUGUAGCAAUACAUGGCGUACUGCUCAGUAACACGUGGACAACCUACCCUUAGGUCGGGGAUAAACCCGGGAAACUGGGUAUAAUACCCGAUAGAUCUCGACUGCUGGAAUGCAUCGAGAUCGAAAGCUCCGGCGCCUAAGGAUGGGUCUGCGGCCUAUCAGGUAGUAGUGGGUGUAGCGUACCUACUAGCCUACGACGGGUACGGGUUGUGAGAGCAAGAGCCCGGAGAUGGAUUCUGAGACACGAAUCCAGGCCCUACGGGGUGCAGCAGGCGCGAAAACUUUACAAUGCUGGAAACAGCGAUAAGGGGACCUCGAGUGCCAGGUUACAAAUCUGGCUGUCGUGAUGCCUAAAAGCAUUGCAUAGCAAGGGCCGGGCAAGACCGGUGCCAGCCGCCGCGGUAACACCGGCGGCUCGAGUGGUAACCGUUAUUAUUGGGUCUAAAGGGUCUGUAGCCGGCCGGAUAAGUCUCUUGGGAAAUCCAGCAGCUCAACUGUUGGGCUUCCAGGAGAUACUGUCUGGCUCGAGGCCGGGAGAGGUGAGAGGUACUUCAGGGGUAGGGGUGAAAUCUUGUAAUCCUUGAAGGACCACCAGUGGCGAAGGCGUCUCACCAGAACGGACCUGACGGCAAGGGACGAAAGCUAGGGGCACGAACCGGAUUAGAUACCCGGGUAGUCCUAGCCGUAAACGAUACUCGCUAGGUGUCGGCCACGGUGCGACCGUUGUCGGUGCCGUAGGGAGGCCGUGAAGCGAGCCACCUGGGAAGUACGGCCGCAAGGCUGAAACUUAAAGGAAUUGGCGGGGGAGCACCACAACGGGUGGAGCUUGCGGUUUAAUUAGAUUCAACGCCGGAAAUCUUACCGGGACCGACAGCAAUAUGAAGGCCAAGCUGAAGACUUUGCCGGAUUAGCUGAGAGGUGGUGCAUGGCCGUCGUCAGUUCGUACUGUGAAGCAUCCUGUUAAGUCAGGCAACGAGCGAGACCCA
rnacentral:rRNA from 1 species